rnacentral:rRNA from 1 species
UACGUAGGUGGCAAGCGUUGUCCGGAUUUAUUGGGUUUAAAGGGUGCGUAGGUGGCGCCGUAAGUCAGGUGUGAAAACUCGGGGCUCAACCCCGAAACUGCACUUGAUACUGCGGUGCUCGAGUACUGGAGAGGAGAUUGGAAUUUACGGUGUAGCAGUGAAAUGCGUAGAUAUCGUAAGGAAGACCAGUGGCGAAGGCGAAUCUCUGGACAGUUACUGACACUGAGGCACGAAGGCCAGGGGAGCAAACGGG